rnacentral:rRNA from 1 species
AGAAUCAACGCUGGCGGCGUGCCUAACACAUGCAAGUCGAACGAGAAAGUGGAGCAAUCCAUGAGUAAAGUGGCGACCGGGUGAGUAACACGUGACUAACCUACCUUCGAGUGGGGGAUAACCUCGGGAAACCGAGGCUAAUACCGCAUAACAUCGCAAGAUCAAAGCAGCAAUGCGCUGGAAGAGGGGGUCGCGGCUGAUUAGCUAGUUGGCGGGGUAACGGCCCACCAAGGCGAAGAUCGGUAUCCGGCCUGAGAGGGCGCACGGACACACUGGAACUGAAACACGGUCCAGACUCCUACGGGAGGCAGCAGUGGGGAAUUUUGCGCAAUGGGGGAAACCCUGACGCAGCAACGCCGCGUGGAGGAUGAAGCCCCUUGGGGCGUAAACUCCUUUCGACCAAGACGAUAAUGACGGUACUGGUGGAAGAAGCACCGGCUAACUCUGCGCCAGCAGCCGC